GUUUGAUCAUGGCUCAGAACGAACGCUGGCGGCGCGCCUAACACAUGCAAGUCGAACGAGAAUCCGGGGCAACCCGGUAGUAAAGUGGCAAACGGGUGAGGAAUACAUGGGUAACCUACCCUUGAGAAGGGAAUAACCCGCCGAAAGGUGAGCUAAUACCCUAUACGCUAUCUUUUUUUCGAAAAGGAUAGGAAAGCCGGGUCGAGGACCUGGUACUCAAGGAGGGGCUCAUGUCCUAUCAGCUUGUUGGUGGGGUAACGGCCUACCAAGGCUACGACGGGUAGCUGGUCUGAGAGGAUGAUCAGCCACACUGGCACUGAGAUACGGGCCAGACUCCUACGGGAGGCAGCAGUGAGGAAUAUUGGACAAUGGGCGCAAGCCUGAUCCAGCAAUGCCGCGUGUGUGAAGAAGGCCUGCGGGUUGUAAAGCACUUUUGUUCGGGAAGAAAUCAUGUCGGUUAAUACCCGAUGUGGAUGACGGUACCGAAAGAAUAAGCACCGGCUAACUUCGUG
rnacentral:rRNA from 1 species